AAAUGAUAGGAAUGCUUAGUGGCGGACUGGUGAGUAACGCGUGAGGAACCUGCCUUCCAGAGGGGGACAACAGUUGGAAACGACUGCUAAUACCGCAUGACGCAUGACCGGGGCAUCCCGGGCAUGUCAAAGAUUUUAUCGCUGGAAGAUGGCCUCGCGUCUGAUUAGCUAGAUGGUGGGGUAACGGCCCACCAUGGCGACGAUCAGUAGCCGGACUGAGAGGUUGACCGGCCACAUUGGGACUGAGAUACGGCCCAGACUCC
rnacentral:rRNA from 1 species